rnacentral:rRNA from 1 species
UACAGAGGGUGCAAGCGUUAAUCGGAGUUACUGGGCGUAAAGGGCGCGUAGGCGGCCUUACAAGCCAGUUGUGAAAUCCCCGGGCUCAACCUGGGAAUGGCAAUUGGGACUGUAGAGCUAGAGUCGAAGAGAGGGAAGCGGAAUUUCCGGUGUAGCGGUGAAAUGCGUAGAUAUCGGAAGGAACACCCGUGGCGAAGGCGGCUUCCUGGCUUCAGACUGACGCUGAGGCGCGAAAGCGUGGGUAGCGAACAGG